rnacentral:lncRNA from 1 species
CUGGAGUGCAGUGGCACGAUCUCGGCUCACUGCAUCCUCUGCCUCCUGGGUUCAAGUGAUUCUCCUGCCUCAGCCUCCCAAGUAGCUGGGACUACAGGCAGGCGCUACCACACUUGGCUAAUUUUGUAUUUUUAGUAGAGACAGGGUUUAACCAUGUUGGCCAGGCUGGUCUUGAACUCCUGACCUCAGGUGAUCUGCCCACCUCGGCCUCCCAAAGUGCUGAGAUUACAGGCGUGAGCCACUGCGCCUUGCCUAUUUGUGCAUUUUAAAUGUUUUCCCUUUGUGUUUAUCUGAAUUUCUCAUAAUGAAUGAUUUGCUCUUGAAUAAGAAAGAGCAAGAACCUAACAAAGGAACAAAAGUUAUUUUAAAAAUUAUAAAACAAACCAACUCCAAUCUAAGAGAUACAAAAACACAGUCAGGCAUAGACACAAAAAUGGGGGCAGAUGAAUUUCUCAGAACAGAUACAAUGAUAAGGACACACACACACAUACACACAGACACACACCUCUCUUCUGCCUAAUUCACAUGGCUGAGGUAGGCAAGGCUGGGGAGUUGCAAGCGGUAGGGGUUUGCCAAGUUUCCAGGAACACCGGAGUCUGGGUGUUGGGGUGGCUGCUGGAGCUUCUGGGCAGGUUGGGUGGGCUGAGGAGAGUACAGGGAGCAGCCUGGGGCUCACUAGCCUGAGUGAGAGGCCUGGCUGUACGACACCCAGCCUGCACCUCCUGGGACAGGGUAAGGCUCCUAAUCCCAGCUCCCCAGUUCAGGCAAGACUGAGGAGCCUGCCAAAGCAACUCUUCCCCAUCCCAGCAGUGGAGGGAGACAGCAGGGUCCACAGCUGGGGAGGAGCUUCCUGGCAACCACCUACGACUUCCAGGCUGAGGCCUUGUCAGCUGCCUACGGACCCCACUUAGGAAGCCAGGGCUGUGGUGGCUCAUACAGGGACCCUCUGUCCUUGUCCUCCUGAGAUACAGGCACAGCCACAGCCCUGGUGUGGGGCCUGGCCUGAGGCAAGGGGUGGAUGCAUGUCCUCCAUCAUCCCCACUGUCACUGUGCUUGCGCAGACCUCACCAUGUCAUCUCCUUAUGGGCCUCCCUGGCCUCACCUCACCCCUGCCCACCCGGCCGCCAGAGAGCUCUUUCUUGGACACAGACCUAACUCCUUAGAGGGCUAUUGGGUGGGUCUCUGUUCCCACCUUCAGAGUUCGCUAUCUGUGGUAGGCAUAAUAAUCAUCCCUCAAAGAUGUCCAUGUCCUAAUCCCUAGAAGCUGAGAAAAUGUUAUGUUCACCAAGGGGAAUUAAGAUUGCAGAUGAAAUCACAGUUGCUAAUCGGUAGACCUUAAAUAAGAUUAUCCCAGAUUAUCUGGGCAGGCCCAAUGCAGUAAGAAAUGUCCCUUCACUGUGGAGGAGGAGGGCAGAGGAGUCAGGGCAGGUGAUGUAAGAAAGACCUGAAGACAGAAGCAGGCCACCAGCCAAGGAGUGUGAGAGUCUCUAGAAACCAGAAAGGAAAAGACAAGGAAAAGCAUUCUCCCCAGUUGCCUCCAGAUGGGAACAUAGCCCUGCCAACAUCUUUUUUUUUUUUUUUUUUUGAGACUGAGUCUCGCUCUGUCGCCCGGGCUGGAGUGCAGUGGUGCGAUCUCGGCUCACUGCAAGCUCCGCCUCCCAGGUUCACGCCAUUCUCCUGCCUCAACCUCCCCGCCCGGCUAGUUUUUUGUAUUUUUAGUAGAGAUGGGGUUUCACUGUGUUAGCCAGGAUAGUCUCGAUCUCCUGACCUUGUGAUCCGCCCGUCUCAGCCUCCCAAAGUGCUGGGAUUACAGGCGUGAGCCACCGCGCCCGGCCUGCCCUGCCAACAUUUUGAUUUUAGCCUAGUGAGUCCUAUUUUGGUCUCUGAUCUCCAGAACUAUAAGAUAAUACAUUUGUGUUGUUUUAAGCCACUAUAUUUAUGCUAAGUUGUUAUAGCAACAAAGUAUUCUUAGCUCAACCAUUAGUGCUCACAAAGACUUAGCCUUGAAUUAGCUCCUCUAGUUAAAUCUAUUCCUGGCCGCCAAGAGACAGAGAAAGGUGGCCUCUGAGGGGGUCAGGUCUUACAGCUGAAGAAGGCUGUUGGGUCUGGAGUAUGGGUGGGCUGACCACUUAGAGAUAGGGAAGGGAGUCAGAAAUUACAUUUCCUAGUAAGUAGGAUGAGAGUGAUAAUGUGACAAUUGUCAGGCCCUGCACCAGGUGUUGGGCAAUGUGCAAACCCAGUCAUCCUUAUCCUUACCCUACAGAAACACCCACGCAAGUGUGCAAGCAUGUACGUCCAAGGUUGUUCUUACAGUAUUGUUUCUAUUAGCAAAACAUUAUAAAAAUCCAAGUACCCAUCAAUUGGGAAAUACAUAAAGAUUAUGAUACAGCCACAAAAAAUGGAAUAAUAGGCAGCCAUUACAAAAAUGUACUGACUUGGAAACUGCCCUCUAUACAUAGAGAAAAAACAGCAAGUUACAGAAUGGUCUCAUAAAACAAAAACAAAAACAAACAAACCAAAAAACACUUUUCCUCCUCAAGAAAACAAAAAUAAGAACAAAAAAACCUCCUAAAUUACACAUAUGCGUAUGUGUUUGUAUGAACCUAGGAAAAUGUCAGGAAGGAUGUGAUGGCCUCUGGGGGACAGGCUUGGAGGAAGAAGGAAGCUUAUGUUUUACUUCAUAUCCUUCUGUCCUGUUCCACCUUAUUUGAACAAGCAUGUGUUGCUUUUUAUUACAAUGUUAAAAGGAAAAAUCCUUAGACUAACUAAGUUCAACAGUUUACUUGACCAAUUAAAAUGAUUCAAAACAAAGAGAAACAAAAAACAAUUUGGGAAUCAGGCAGCCCCCCAGAACCAAAACAGGUUCAGAGAACUUUCAGAGAACUCAGGCCAACACCAUGAUCAGGCAACAUUUGUAGAUAGAGAGAGAACAGAAGUGAGAUACAGAGACAACUUAAUUGGUUACAGCUUAAUUGGUUGAUUAGUUCUACCUAAACGUCUUACCUUAUUCAACUCAGCUGACCUACUGUAGUUCAUUAAGUUCAGCUGUGUGACUCACUGAACCUCAACCAUUUGCAAGAAUAUAUUCCUAAAGUAAUUAGUUUCAUUAAGCGUGAUGGCUUCAUAUUGGUUUGGUCUGCUAGGCUCAGUAAAGGACACUAAUUCAAAUCAAUGGCCUCCUAUUUUAACACAUAAUAACUUUUUUAAUGUUAAGAUAACACAGGUUAAGAAAGCAAACUUGACUGUCCUGUUCUGUGACAAACAGCUGUUAUUUGCAAAAAGGACUCCCUGGGUUGAGGGAGACCAGAGCUCCACUUAGCAAGGCCACUCAGGAAACAGAUGGACCAACUUGAGUUCUUUUUCUGUGUGAGCUCAUCUGGGGAAUGAGACACUGUGGAUCUUCUGAGUGGAAAAGUGGAGUCAUUCAAGCCCUCCUGGCUUCUACAGAGGGUUUCACUCCCGUCGCCCAGGCUGGAAUGCAGUGGUGAAAUCUCGGCUCACUGCAACCUCUGCCUCCUGGGCUCAAAUGAUCCUCUCGCCUCAGCCUCCUGAGUAGCUGGGACUACAGGCAUGCAGCACUGCGCCCAGCUAAGUUUUGUAUUUUUUCUAGAGACGGAAUUUUGCCGUGUUGCCUAGGCUGCUCUGGAACUCCUGAGCUCAAGUGAUCCACCUGCCUUGGCCUCCUGAAGUGCUGGGAUUACAGGUCGGAGCCACUGCGCCUGGCCUCUAUGCCUGUGGUCUUUAGUUUGUAGGAACCAGACCACUCAAAGGCUGGAACGUACCUUAUUGCUCUGCCAGUGAAUGGUUUAGGAACUGGCUGAAGGAGCUGGGGAUUCAGUCUAGGAAGAACUUACAGGAGUUGGGAUUGGGUUUGAGAGCUGCUUUCACACAUCUAAGUAAAAAAGAUUUAGCCUUCCUCACAGAGGGCUCUAGGCCAAAACCAGAACCCAAAGGUGGAGGCUGCCAACUUUACCCUAAAUUAAAGAGAAACCUCCUACCCAUCAGAACUGGAUGGAGGUAGCUUUUUGAUAGCAACUCUCCACUGCUGGGAAUAUUUAAUCAAAGGAUGCAGAAGGAGUCAUUAACUGAGCAGCAGUUCCCAUAUACCAGCCUAUGUAUUGGUACCUACCUGUCUAUAACAUUUUCCAGGUCUCAGCCAGGCACGGUGGCUCAUGCUUGUAAUCCCAGCACUUUGGGAGGCUGAGGUGGAAGGAUCUCUUGAGCCCGGGAGUUACCAGCCCGGGCGACACAGGGAGACCCUGUCUCUACAAAUAAUUUAAAAAUUAGCCAGGCAUGAUGGUGCACACGUGUGUGGUCCCAGCUACUUGGAAGGCUGAGGAGGAGAAUCAAUUGAGCCCAGGAGGUCGAG